UACGUAGGUGACAAGCGUUGUCCGGAUUUACUGGGCGUAAAGCGCGCGCAGGCGGUUCUUCAAGUCAGUGGUGAAAGCCCGGAGCUCAACUCCGGAAUUGCCAUUGAAACUGUAGAACUUGAGGAUGAGAGAGGUGAGUGGAAUUCCCAGUGUAGAGGUGAAAUUCGUAGAUAUUGGGAAGAACACCGGUGGCGAAGGCGGCUCACUGGCUCAUUUCUGACGCUCAGGCGCGACAGCGUGGGGAUCGAAACAAGG
rnacentral:rRNA from 1 species